rnacentral:tRNA from 1 species
GGAUGUAGCUCAGUGGUAGGGCGCUUGCCUAGCAAGUGUGAGGCCCUGGGUUCAAUCCCCAGUACUG